AGAAGGUGAAUAAGAAGAAGACGGAGAAGGAGAAGAGUUUCAGAGACGGACAAGUGGUUGGAGGACGCCAACCGGACCACCUUAAAACAUCAAGAUUUCACCCAGAAGAGAUGGAUUGAGGCCAUGGUGUUCUUGGAAGCGAGGGGAGCCGUUCCACCAGUCGGCCCGUUGAGUUCAGGCACGUGUAGGCAUCUCCAACGCAUUUGUUACUGGACAGACUUAUCUUUUGUUUUUAAAAUAACUUUCAAAUAAAUUUGUCAAACAGGGAUGAUGUGUGGUUUUAUUUUUUGGUUUGCUGUCAUUAUCUGAAAUGGGGAAUUUGUCAA